UUAAUUUAUUUGAUUUUGAUUCAGAAGACAUGUUUAUAAUGAGUUUGAGAAAACUUCUGCCGGUCGAAACCGGCAAAGAAACAGGUUUAGUUAAAACAUAGGGUUGAAGUUUGGGCACUGAGUACCCGAAACCUUUAAUGAUCCUUCCGCAGGUUCACCUACGGAAA
rnacentral:misc_RNA from 1 species